GUCGCAAGACCAAAGUGGGGGACCUUCGGGCCUCAUGCCAUCAGAUGUGCCCAGAUGGGAUUAGCUAGUAGGUGGGGUAACGGCUCACCUAGGCGACGAUCCCUAGCUGGUCUGAGAGGAUGACCAGCCACACUGGAACUGAGACACGGUCCAGACUCCUACGGGAGGCAGCAGUGGGGAAUAUUGCACAAUGGGCGCAAGCCUGAUGCAGCCAUGCCGCGUGUGUGAAGAAGGCCUUCGGGUUGUAAAGCACUUCGAGCGGGGAGGAAGGCGGUGAGGUUAAUAACCUCAUCGAUUGACGUUACCCGCAGAAGAAGCACCGGCUAACUCCGUGCCAGCAGCCGCGGUAAUACGGAGGGUGCAAGCGUUAAUCGGAAUUACUGGGCGUAAAGCGCACGCAGGCGGUCUGUCAAGUCGGAUGUGAAAUCCCCGGGCU
rnacentral:rRNA from 1 species